UCUCUGGGAUUACAGGCGUAAGCCACCAUGCCUGGCCUGUUUCUGAUUCUCUAGGUCUGGAAAGGGGCCCAAUAAUUUUCACUUCUAACAAGUGGCAGGAUGCUGCUGCUGCUGCUGCUGCUGCUGGUGGUCCAGGGACCACACUUUGAGAAGUGUGGUACUGUGUGGUACUUACCAGACCACUUACCAUACUUCCUGCCUGCCUAAUUGUGUCACAAUAUAGCCAUGCUUCUCAGGUGUAGCAAUUCAUUAGAAUUACCUGUGAAGCUUUUUGGGUGGAAUGCUCAGACCCUAUCUUAGACCCAAUUAAACCUAUGGCUUUGAGGAUGAGGCUUGGGUAUGGUUCAGAAAGAUCCCCAGGUGAUUCUAAUGGAUACAGAGGGUUGAGAAGCACAGGCAUAUAGCAAACUCUGGCACUAUUCUACCUUAACAUAUGAUUCUCAUUUGACAAAUACCUAUUGACCACCUAAUAUAUGUCUUGGAAAAUGAUAAAGUAUGUAAGAAAUGGUCCCUGACCUCAAGCGGAGAUACAUCACAUGCCCAAAUAUUUAAACAAAAAGCUGGUGUGUGGGGUUUGUGCCAAUUAGAGGACUAAACCAUUAAUGAAAACAGAAAGCUGGAUGAUUCAGGGUAAAUCAGUGCUGCACUUGAUCCUCACAUUGUUUGAGACAUGGAAUAAACUUGACAGAAUGUGCUGAAGAUGCUCUUUGAUUUUCGUGUGGCAUGAGAUCUCAGGCUGAAACUUCUCAUCUGAGCCAUUGAGGGGAGCCUCUCAUCUCUCCACCAAGAGGGGAGACCAGAAUGGGAAACCACACUGCAGUCUUCCCCACUCUCAACCCCUCCCUGUCACCCCAAUACUUAGUGGAAGAGGGAUAAAUUGGAAAUUUUACCAAGGAGGAACUGAGGAAGACAUUGCAAUGAGGUAGAAUGUAAUGGCAGGUCCUGCUGAGCCACCUGUAAACCAGCACAAGAAGCCAUUUGAAGAUCCCUCACAUGUCCAUAUUAUUUCUUGCUUGGAGUGGAAGGAAGGAGUAUUGCCCCUCCCAUGGCUGGAAGAAGGCUGAGUAGCCAUACAAUUCCAAAGCAACACCAUCUUCCUUCUCUGGGCGUUCAUUGGCCAGUCACUGAAAGAAAGAAAAAAAGAAAAAGAAAAAAGGAAAGAAAGGAAGAGAAAAAUAGAAGGAAAGAAAGAAA